GGUUACAGAUUGCACCUAGCCCUAAACUGCUGGCAUCUGUCUCUACAGAAAAUGAAUGGGAGAAAUCCAGCUAACCAAGUAGAGGAGCACUGCUGAGAUCUGGUGACCAACAAAGCACACGCGGGGCUGGAGGAGAUGACAUUUUUCCACCUUGACCUUUGACCCUGUCUCCCUAAGUCUCCACAACACUUUCUGAAGCCGUACCAGGUGGUCCUCAAAAGUCUAGUGCUGGCAAACACAAAAGGAGGCAGAGGCGAGUCAGAGCCCUAGAGAAAGAGCCCGGGUGCACGUCCCCAUGAACGUGCCCAGAUUAAGCCGAGGCGAUGAUGAAGACCACCGGGCAGAGCAGAUCUGGGCUUGUGUCAAACCACCACAAGGGUCUCAGCGCUCCCUCAAAACCCACCGAUGACAGUAGCUGUUACGAGAUGAGAGGAGCCAUCCCACUGCAGAGGACAUCGACCUGCGAGACCUGGCUCUCUCAUGGGAACCUGUGGAAGGUCCAUGUGGGUCCUCAUGGCCCCCCUCCCAAAGCUGGUGCCUCUUCCAUCACCCUCCCUGGGCUUUCCAGUGAACCCUUUGAUGUCCUGGGAUCAGGGCAGCAGUGGCCAUGAGGGCCUGUCAGCCUGCAGGGGGAGAUACCUUGGAAAGUUACUCACCAUAGAGCACUGGUAAAAUGGAGAUGGACAAAGGAGAGGAGAAGCGAGGUUUUGCAUCUUUGCAUUUUUCAAACCAUUGGUGGUCGAAGUGUUGUCAUAUUAACUUAGACUCAAAGAAGAACUGGGAACAAGGUAGCAGUUCUUUUGUGCAGAUUAUUAUAGUACAACUGAUGCAAAAAAAUCAAUGUGCGUGUGCCAUUUUAUUUCAAAAAGUGCAAAAAGUGACAAAUGUUACAAAAGGUCAACAUUUCGCUCAAAGGACCAUCGUCGGCACAACAGAGACAGUCACAAGAAAGAUGCAGACAAAGAUGGACAUACAUAGACUGAAACUGUGAUGGGAGACAGAUGGAGACAGACAGUGCAGGGAUAUUAUCAAAGGUUUCACCAGUCUGACCUGUAACAUGUUUGAGAUGGAGGGACAAGGACGCUGUUUGUUCUUUAAUCUGCUUUCUCAUACCGAGUUACCGCGGCCCUCGUGGGAAUCAGUUUCAGACUGUCGCAGACUGACUGUGGUAUCUCACACACAACUCUGCUUCUAGGAACGAACUCCCAUUUCUGAGUGAAUUGAUCAAGAUGGGCGCGCAAUAUUUUGCAUGUAGAGAUCAAAGGACACACUGUAAAUGCUGAUAUUGGACUUUGCUGUCAGCUCAUCAGUCUUGUCUAUUGUUUGUCUCAGGGAGGUUCAUGCAGAUGCACCAUCUUCAUCUUCAUCUGUCACUACUAUAACACUGAUGUGACUGGUGCGCCCCCUUGUGACUAAACAUAUCAAUUGUCAUAGCAUCCUUGACAUGACUUUGGUUCUUCAAAAAAGGAAAGAAAAGACAGUUUAUCAUUUCAUAUUAAUUGAUUUUAUUGAGGACACAAUUCCAUAUGGAGAUAAAAAAAUAUCCUUAGGUUUAAUUUUGAGAUAGUAAACACACAGUCAUGUAGUAAAAGGUAAAUCAGACAACAGUGUUAUGUUUGUGUAUCCCAUACAAAAUUAUAACAAAUUUUUGGCAAUAAUAAAAGUGGAGUGGACUGCCUUGGAAAAAGCGCUAUACUUCAAUAUCCAUCACAGCUGAAAUAUAGUUUUUGUAGCUUAUCAAGUAUCAUUAUGUUGAUAUCCUGACUUCUUAGCACAGACAUCAUAUAAA